rnacentral:rRNA from 1 species
UACGUAGGGUGCGAGCGUUGUCCGGAAUUAUUGGGCGUAAAGGGCUCGUAGGCGGUCUGUUGCGUCGGGAGUGAAAACUUACAGCUUAACUGUGAGCGUGCUUUCGAUACGGGCAGACUUGAGGCAUUCAGGGGAGAACGGAAUUCCUGGUGUAGCGGUGAAAUGCGCAGAUAUCAGGAGGAACACCGGUGGCGAAGGCGGUUCUCUGGGCCUUACCUGACGCUGAGGAGCGAAAGCGUGGGGAGCGAACAGG